rnacentral:rRNA from 1 species
GUGUAUGACUAUACCAGCCUGAAUGUGCACAAUCUCAUCUGAUCUCAGAAGCUAAGCAGGGUCGGGCCUGGUUAGUACUUAUGGGAGAAAUGUCUAAUUAAAUACUUUGUCAUGAGUC